AGUUUGUGAUCGAUAUAACCAUAGCAUGAGAAGUAUUGUGUUAAUGACGAGAAAGUUUUGAAUGGGUAUACUCUGUGAUUGAUGUGUUAGACGUCAUUGCUCCAACUCUUGGAGAUGUCUGUCAGUCU